rnacentral:rRNA from 1 species
UGUAAGCGUAUACCAAAGUUGUUGCAGUUAAAACGCUCGUAGUCGGAAUUUGGCAGUUCCGGAAGUGUGCACGUCGUGUGCGCACUUUGCGGGGACUGCUUUUGUGGUCUUGCGUAGGAUGAGGCACUUUCAUUAGUGAACGUCCUCACGCAACCACUCUUUACUGUGAGAAAAUCAGAGUGCUCAAAGCAGGCAUUUGCCGUGAAUGUAUUAGCAUGGAAUAAUAGAAUAGGACUCGGUUCUAUUUUGUUGGUUUGUUGGGACUGAGUAAUGAUUAAGAGGGACAGUUGGGGGGCAUUUGUAUUCCGGCGCUAGAGGUGAAAUUCUUAGAUUGCCGGAAGACAAACUGCUGCGAAAGCGUCUGCCAAGGAUGUUUUCAUUGA